UACGGAGGAUGCGAGCGUUAUCCGGAUUUAUUGGGUUUAAAGGGUGCGUAGGCGGUCCGGAAAGUCAGCGGUAAAAGCCCGGGGCUCAACCCCGGCGAGCCGUUGAAACUGGGGGCCUUGAGUGGGCGAGAAGAAGGCGGAAUGCGUGGUGUAGCGGUGAAAUGCAUAGAUAUCACGCAGAACCCCGAUUGCGAAGGCAGCCUUCCGGCGCCCUACUGACGCUGAGGCACGAAAGUGCGGGGAUCGAACAGG
rnacentral:rRNA from 1 species